GGGCUAAAAGUCAAAGGAUCGCCGAGACCUGAUGUAACACUUGUGUGAUUCUCCCCUUUGAAACUUCAAACUCCAGUUUGUGAACAAAGUCCCAUAUCUUCUGAAUAGGAAUCUUCGACCACUGGCCAAACUCCAUUUGCAACCACUGCCUAUUUGUACCUUCUCCUCAAUGAUUACAUUUCAUUUCCCCAAGUCCGAUCUCAAAGGCAGGCUGCAGGGAAGCGACAUAAGUAAGAGAAAUCCCCCCCCCAAAAAAACAGGAACCAGCAGCUGGGAGGAAAAGAGGAUCAUGGUGGAGGAGUUAAUAAUAAUGAUGUGGAAUACGCACUGUCUGGGGACUUCUUCAGGUUCUUUGUGAGAAAGCUGAAGCACAUGGGGAACUGGGAGUGUUUGUGCAGCACCAUCCAGGAGCGUGUUGAUGUUGAUAAGAGUGAAACAGAAGGAGACCAUGUGCUGGCUGCAGCAGGUUGGAGGCUGCUGUGCUGCAGUAGAUGGAGGAGAUAGUGCAGCGUCCCAUCCUGGCCAUACAUCCCUCUGAAGGCCGAGCCCUGACAGUGAGCCAGCCAGCUGAGCGAAGGCCCAUGAGCCUCAGCGGCUCUCUCAGGCCCGGCCAGGCUGAGGCAGGCUGGGAGGAGAAGCAGGGCCACUGCUGCUGAAUAGUGCUGUCUGGCUUGUAAGGGCCCACAGCACCCAGGGCUAAUCCCCCUAAUGCCUGUCACAAUGAGAUUUGAUUGGAGACUUGAACACCCGGAUUAAAAGUGUCAAGUCAUACCUACCCUCCAAAUGGGCUGCUAAUUGGGCUAAACACCAGAGGGGCACUUCUACAUCACAUUUUUAUUACAGUCAAAUUCAAUUUCACUUCCUUAGCUGAGUUUUUCGUCCACCAGGACACAAGCUUAAUACUUUCCAUACAGCUAUGUUCUUAAUCUUUUUUUAUAAUAAAUUAUGUCAGAGAUGAAGUACAUGUUGUUGCUGUCUGAUUACAUUCACGCUGUCACAAGAUGGCAAAAGGGAAAGCAAAAGCAGCCCGCCAUUGACACAGUCAGAGACUUCAUUACUGCAACCUUUGUAAAAAUUUGCAUCUCCUCAUCCCAAUGUGACAUGCAAAUCAUUUGACGAAUGACCACAGGAGUAAAAACCAAACUUCCAUCAACCGCUUUGUCUGAAAGCCGC